rnacentral:rRNA from 1 species
GGGGGCUUACGCCCCCGGGCCCGCGCCCGCCGAAGACACCCUCGAACUCUGUCUGAAGAUUGUAGUCUGAGUAAAAAUAUAAAUUAUUUAAAACUUUCAACAACGGAUCUCUUGGUUCCGGCAUCGAUGAAGAACGCAGCGAAAUGCGAUACGUAAUGUGAAUUGCAAAUUCAGUGAAUCAUCGAGUCUUUGAACGCACA